rnacentral:rRNA from 1 species
GACGAACGCUGGCGGCGUGCUUAACACAUGCAAGUCGAACGAAGAGCGAUGGAAGCUUGCUUCUAUCAAUCUUAGUGGCGAACGGGUGAGUAACGCGUAAUCAACCUGCCCUUCAGAGGGGGACAACAGUUGGAAACGACUGCUAAUACCGCAUACGAUCUAAUCUCGGCAUCGAGGAUAGAUGAAAGGUGGCCUCUACAUGUAAGCUAUCACUGAAGGAGGGGAGUGCGUCUGAUUAGCUAGUUGGAGGGGUAACGGCCCACCAAGGCGAUGAUCAGUAGCCGGUCUGAGAGGAUGAACGGCCACAUUGGGACUGGGACACGGCCCAGACUCCUACGGGAGGCAGCAGUGGGGAAUCUUCCGCAAUGGACGAAAGUCUGACGGAGCAACGCCGCGUGAGUGAUGACGGCCUUCGGGUUGUAAAGCUCUGUUAAUCGGGACGAAAGGCCUUCUUGCGAACAGUUAGAAGGAUUGACGGUACCGGAAUAGAAAGCCACGGCUAACUACGUG